CUUGUGUGGCUCCCCCUCACAUCACUAUUCUUGUUUGUCAAAAUGAAGAGAACAGAAAACUCCCAUCUCUCUUUCUGAACAAUGAUGAGCAAGGAGUGACUCAUUGAGGUGAACACUAAUAGAUUACACUGUGCCAUUAAAAAUAUUUAAAAUUGGAUUAUUAUUUUUUCUUUUCAAAACAGAAACUGGUUUAAAUAUUACCUGUAUUUCCAUGACAUAAUUAUCAGAUUCAAUUUUAGUUAUAUGGAAAAUAAAACAACCAUGUCCCAGAGAUGUCCAGUUGUGAAUGAAUUCCUGCAAUCAGGACUAAAGGUCAGUAAAACACAUCAGUUGAGUUUUUCGAAUUAAAAUUUUAUUCAGCAUAUUAUUAACUGCAAUUAUUUGAUUUAUAAGCAAUAUUGUCUUUGUGUAUUAGAUAUUUCAUGGUAAAUAUCCUAUAUAUCAUAAUCUUAUACUUUCAGACAAUCCUUUAUAGCUAAAAUGACUACAUUACUGCCACGGUUCAUGUCAGCAUUGUCAGCCUUUGAGUCACCAAGAAGGAGCACAACCUGCUUAACUACUCCAGCACUGAUGACUAUUCUACAGCUCAGUCAGAAGACCUUGUGGUAUCUUGCGUCUAGACUGCCCAACUUGUGGUCUGUAGUAUGUGUCUUCUUGUUGUAACUUGCACUUUGUGCAUUAUCCAUAUUUUCCAUUUUAGACAACAAAACAUUUACCCACCUAAUUGCAUUUUGAUUUUUUUCUUUAUUUACCAGAUUUACAAUGUAUUUUUAUUCAAUUUAGAAAAUUUAUUUAUCAUCAUAUAUUAAAAAGAUUAUCAUUUUAGUUUGUAUUUACACAUGGAGCAUUAAAAUCAAUAUUUAAAAAAUUUUAGGUUUGGUUUAUUAGAUCAUUUCUAUAUUCUCAUUUUUUAAAAGUAACCAUUUCUUGGCUCAAAAAUGAGUUGUCUUGUUCCAAUGACAUCAUCUGCCAAGAAAAAUCGAGCGUAGGUGUGUUGUGGCAGGGAUUUACUGAUACAGCUUAUGUUAGGCAUCCUAUCAGGGAGCUCAUGAUUGUGCAUGUGCGUAUGUGUGUCUGCACGCAUACGUGUGUGUGUGUGUGUAUGUGUGUGUGUAAACGUGCAUCUGAAUGUCACCACCUGGCACAAAUCACGCGGGCCUCACGUUUUGAUAGACCCACAACAGGUGUGUGGAGGCACAGCAAACACCCUUGACUCCUGACAGGUGUUGAAGUUUGGGUUUCAGCCCAGACUGCACUGCAUUUGCUUGUGACACUCACAUUAGUCACCGACUCGCUCGCUGGACCUCUGACUCUAAUAGCCAGCUAGGUAUACUAAUCCUUCCAUGGGCCAUAAAUGUUAAUAACUUACUAGGUACGGUAAUCUCCAGUGGUGACAUUUGGUCUACCUUAAUCUGAAGAUGUAUUAGAGGAGGAAGGAUGGUGGGAUAGAUGGAUGGGUGGAAUUACAGCGAUCAUAUAGUGGGGCACAGGCAAGUAAAAUGUAUCAUUUGGCUUAACCCACUACAUCAUAUUCCUGUGCGUGCUGGGGGGUCCAAAUCCGGUAGGCUGUGGGGGGUCUAAAUCUGAGGCUCUAUGGGUAAAAACAUAACAAGCACUAAGAGUAAAAUACAUAAUGGUAUUUUAAUGAUCCUGUUCAGUACAGUAUUUGCUUAUUUGUAUGAAGCAUGAACGUUGUUGUGGGAAUAUGACGUCAGAUCAUGCCAGAAAUAUCUGAUAUCAAUAUGGAUGCCCAUUUUGACCUUGUAGAGUAAGAAGAAG
ensembl:lncRNA